rnacentral:rRNA from 1 species
UCGAGAAACCUCCGCAAUACACGAAAGUGUGACGGGGUUACCCAAAGUGUUCAAUAGAACUGUGGUAGGUGAGUAAUGUUCCCUACUAGAAAGGAGAGGGCAAGGCUGGUGCCAGCCGCCGCGGUAAAACCAGCUCUUCAAGUGGUCGGGGUAAUUAUUGGGCUUAAAGUGUCCGUAGCCGGUUUAGUAAGUUCCUGGUAAAAUCGGGUAGCUUAACUAUCUAUAUGCUAGGAAUACUACUAUACUAGAGGGCGGGAGAGGUCUGAGGUACUGCAGGGGUAGGG